UACGUAGGGUGCAAGCGUUAAUCGGAAUUACUGGGCGUAAAGCGUGCGCAGGCGGUUUUGUAAGACAGUGGUGAAAUCCCCGGGCUCAACCUGGGAACUGCCAUUGUGACUGCAAGGCUAGAGUGCGGCAGAGGGGGAUGGAAUUCCGCGUGUAGCAGUGAAAUGCGUAGAUAUGCGGAGGAACACCGAUGGCGAAGGCAAUCCCCUGGGCCUGCACUGACGCUCAUGCACGAAAGCGUGGGGAGCAAACAGGAUUAG
rnacentral:rRNA from 1 species